AACGAACGCUGGCGGCAGGCUUAACACAUGCAAGUCGAGCGCCCGCAAGGGGAGCGGCAGACGGGUGAGUAACGCGUGGGAAUCUACCCAUCUCUACGGAAUAACGCAUGGAAACGUGUGCUAAUACCGUAUACGUCCUUCGGGAGAAAGAUUUAUCGGAGAUGGAUGAGCCCGCGUUGGAUUAGCUAGUUGGUGGGGUAAAGGCCUACCAAGGCGACGAUCCAUAGCUGGUCUGAGAGGAUGAUCAGCCACACUGGGACUGAGACACGGCCCAGACUCCUACGGGAGGCAGGAGUGGGGAAUAUUGGACAAUGGGCGCAAGCCUGAUCCAGCCAUGCCGCGUGAGUGAUGAAGGCCCUAGGGUUGUAAAGCUCUUUCACCGGUGAAGAUAAUGACGGUAACCGGAGAAGAAGCCCCGGCUAACUUCGUGCCAGCCGCCGCGGUAAAAC
rnacentral:rRNA from 1 species